UACGACUACAUAUCAGGCAUAUCAAUAAGCGGAGGAAAAGAAACUAACAAGGAUUCCCUUAGUAACGGCGAGUGAAGCGGGAAGAGCUCAAAUUUGAAAUCUUCAAGGUUCUACCUUGACGAAUUGUAGUUUAAAGAAGUGUUUUCUGUUAGAGGAGUUCGUAAAAGUUCCUUUGGAAUAGGGACAUCAUAGAGGGUGAGAAUCCCGUAUUUGACCGUUAUCUUUCCUAGCUUUGUGAUACACUUUCAAAGAGUCGGAUUGUUUGGGAAUGCAGUCCAAAAUGGGUGGUAAAUUUCAUCUAAAGCUAAAUAUUGGCGAGAGACCGAUAGCGAACAAGUACCGUGAGGGAAAGAUGAAAAGAACUUUGAAAAGAGAGUUAAACAGUACGUGAAAUUGUCAAAAGGGAAGCGUUUGACACCAGUGUUGUUUUUCCGAAAAUCAAUUAAGAAGUGGCUUGAUUUUGUGUUGUAUUGACCUUAUCAGCUUUCUUCACUCUUUUUCGAGUCUUUCUUAAUGCACUUUUCGGUUAACAAGUCAACAUCAAUUUCUUUUGUUGUAAAAGGGUAUUUGGAAGGUGGCUUUCUUUUCGGAGAAAGUGUUUAUAGCCUUAUACCUCUACAAUCGGAGAGAUUGAGGUCUGCAGCGUAGAUCCUUCGGGGCUAGAUACACUUGUGCUAAGUUAUAGCUUUUCAUAGACAACUUGUUGACUAUGUUUAGUCAUGUAGCUUACCCGCUUGUGCUAUUUUACCUACGCUUAGGAUGUUGAUCUACAGAGCGAGAGU
rnacentral:rRNA from 1 species